rnacentral:lncRNA from 1 species
GACAGAAGGUAGGGUUUGUUUUUUUUUAAAUGACCCAUGGAUCUAAGGAGAAGGAAACAUCCUUUUGGCUUCCUUUUCAGGACUGGGGAAGGAGGAGAGAGAGAAGGCACAGUAGUUAAGCCCUCUGGACAGGCUGAGGGCCACUUAGAUCUAGACCUGGAAAGGACCCCUGCAUCCACCUAAUCCAACACCCUCAUUUGACAAAUGAAGAAACUGAGAGCCAGAAAGGCAAGUCCCUUGUCUAAGAUCAGCCAGGGACCAUACUGCCUCAAGUAGCAGAGCUGAGAGUGGAACCCAGGUCUUAGGACUCUAGAUUCAGCCUCUUUCCACCACCCCAUACUUCCUCUUAGUCUGCCUUCAGGGGAUACCUCCCCACCCUGCCUGCCCACUGGAUUAGAGUGGGAUGUGGGCUGGGCCCUGCGGUUCGGGCGAUGGGGGCGGUGGAGUCUGAGUUGUUUGGUUGGGCAUGGGAGGGGUGGGAGCUGGGGGCAGAAGCACUCCCCUCCCCCCCCAGGGGCUGCAGGAUGUGAUGGGAAGGACCAGCCAACGUGCCUACCCCUGCCCCUCCCAGCCUCUUCGGCCUGAACCCGUCGCCCCAAGUCUCCGGGGCUAAGAAGAGUGACCGAAAGUUCGCUUGCGGCUGCGACAGGAGAAGUCGGUGGCUUCCUCUCUUUCUCGAGCCGGGGGCGGGGGAAGGGGAAGCUGGGACUAGUUCCCUUGGGCCAGUCAGCCCAGCCGAGGGGCUCGGGGGCUCCCUGGCUUCAGCAGGACCCGCCCACGGAGCGAGGCAGAGCGUGUACUAAAAACCUAGAAAUAGAGCUGCAGAAGAGGUUUUCCUGCCUGAAGAGUUCCAUGUUCUUGACGGAUUUAUUCUGGAGAGGAAGGAAGACUGCAGGCCUAAUCACAGCGAGGACUCUGGUAAGGGGAUGGAUGAUGUGGCCACCAUCAUGGGCUAGGCUUGGGGGGUGGAGAAUGCAUCUCUUCCUUUAUUCUUUGCUGGUGUAUUAAUGGUAGAACCUGCACUGGCUACCGUUAGGGACUUAGCGAGGAGAUGGGAGCUUGAAGGUGGAGAGGUGACCCAAGUGAGAAGAUGGGGGCUCAAGGAUGGUGAUGCAGGCCAAGUGAGUAGAUGAGGGCUUAAUGAGAAGAAGUGAGGAUUUGGGGGUUCACUGAGGGUAUGAAAGCGUAACGAGGGGAUAGGACCUCAGGGAAGGAGGGGGGAGCUUCUAAAGGGCUGGGGACUCUGUGGAAGAGAUAUGGGCUCAGUGAUGGAGAGGGAAACUCAGGGAAAGGUCAGCUAGGUAGCAGAGUUUCCAGUGUGUGUAUCCACAGAACUCCAGUCAGGAUCAGGAAGACCUGGAUUCAAAUGUGGCUUCAGAUACUUCUUAGCUGUGUGAUCCUGGACAAGUCACUUAACUCUGCUGCUUUUCCCUUUGUCCUUCUGUUUUAGAGUUGUUACUGAGAGAAGGUA